rnacentral:rRNA from 1 species
UACGUAGGGUGCAAGCGUUAAUCGGAAUUACUGGGCGUAAAGCGUGCGCAGGCGGUUUUGUAAGACUGUCGUGAAAUCCCCGGGCUUAACCUGGGAAUGGCGAUGGUGACUGCAAGGCUAGAGUUUGGCAGAGGGGGGUAGAAUUCCACGUGUAGCAGUGAAAUGCGUAGAGAUGUGGAGGAGCACCGAUGGCGAAGGCAGCCCCCUGGGUCAAAACUGACGCUCAUGCACGAAAGCGUGGGGAGCAAACAGG